GGGCGAUUAGCUCAGUUGGUUAGAGCGCUACGUUGACAUCGUAGAGGUCGAUGGUUCGAGUCCAUUAUCGCCCACCA
rnacentral:tRNA from 1 species